GCGAACAAGUACCGUGAGGGAAAGUUGAAAAAAACUUUGAAGAAAGAGUUCAAGAGUACGUGAAACCGUUCAGGUAAACCUAAGGGGUAAACCUAAGAAACUCAAAAGAUCGAACGGGGAGAUUCGUCGUCAGCGGCGCUUGCUUCGCGUCGGUCGGCGAUGUCACGCGGUUUCUCGCGCGGGCACGCUACCGUGCGCGCAUGUCCGGCGUCGUCGUCGUGCACUUCUCCCCUAGUAGAACGUCGCGACUCGCUGGGUGUCGGUCUACGGCCCGGGUGCGGUGACUGCCGCGUCGCCGGUAAAACGGCACGCGGCAAACCCCCGGAAGCUCGGCCGGCUGCCCGGCGGUACUCGCACGGUAUCAGGCCGCAGUCUAUCUCUGCGUCAAGCCCGUCGCAAGCGCGCGCCACGGUCACUCGGAGGCACGGACCUAGCGCCGUCCCCGGUCCUGGCCCGCUGUUGGCCGACGGUGAUCCUUUGACAGGCCUUACGGGGCGACGCGGAGCUGGUUCGCCAUCCCGCGCUCGCCCCAAUACCGGUCGGCGACGCUACUGCUUUGGGUACUCUUAGGACCCGUCUUGAAACACGGACCAAGGAGUCUAACAUGUGCGCGAGUCAUUGGGACUAGCAAAACCCAAAGGCGCAAUGAAAGUGAAGGUCGGCCUUGGCGCCGACCGAGGGAGGAUGGGCCGCGUCGCGAUGCGGCCUCGCACUCCCGGGGCGUCUCGUUCUCAUCGCGAGAAGAGGCGCACCAAGAGCGUACACGUUGGGACCCGAAAGAUGGUGAACUAUGCCUGGUCAGGACGAAGUCAGGGGAAACCCUGAUGGAGGUCCGUAGCGAUUCUGACGUGCAAAUCGAUCGUCGGAACUGGGUAUAGGGGCGAAAGACUAAUCGAACCAUCUAGUAGCUGGUUCCCUCCGAAGUUUCCCUCAGGAUAGCUGGCACUCGGCCGUUCCACGGAACGCGCGCGAGUCUCAUCUGGUAAAGCGAAUGAUUAGAGGCCUUGGGGCCGAAACGACCUCAACCUAUUCUCAAACUUUAAAUGGGUGAGAUCUCUGGCUUUCUUGAACCUUGAAGCCACGAGAAUCUCGGAUCAGAGUGCCAAGUGGGCCAUUUUUGGUAAGCAGAACUGGCGCUGUGGGAUGAACCAAACGCAGAGUUAAGGCGCCUAACUCGACGCUCAUGGGACACCAUGAAAGGCGUUGGUUGCUUAAGACAGCAGGACGGUGGCCAUGGAAGUCGGAAUCCGCUAAGGAGUGUGUAACAACUCACCUGCCGAAGCAACUAGCCCUGAAAAUGGAUGGCGCUGAAGCGUCGAGCCUAUACUCUGCCGUCAGCGGCAAGUGGGGCGGGGGCCCUAAACAGCCCCCGUCACGAAGCCCUGACGAGUAGGAGGGUCGCGGCGGUGUGCGCAGAAGGGUCUGGGCGCGAGCCUGCCUGGAGCCGCCGCCGGUGCAGAUCUUGGUGGUAGUAGCAAAUACUCCAGCGAGGCCCUGGAGGACUGACGUGGAGAAGGGUUUCGUGUGAACAGCCGUUGCACACGAGUCAGUCGAUCCUAAGCCCUAGGGGAAACCCUAUGUCAAUGACGGCGUAAUGCUCAGUGCUCUCUCGAACGUUUCAUACUGAACAUGGCACACGUCCGUCGGGCGAAAGGGAAUCCGGUUCCUAUUCCGGAACCCGGCAGCGGAACCGCAUACCAUUCGGGCCCUCGUAAGAGUGUUCGUCGGGGUAACCCAAAAUGACCUGGAGACGCCGUCGGGAGAUCCGGGAAGAGUUUUCUUUUCUGUAUAAGCGUUCGAGUUCCCUGGAAACCUCUAGCAGGGAGAUAGGGUUUGGAACGCGAAGAGCACCGCAGUUGCGGCGGUGUCCGGAUCUUCCCCUCGGACCUUGAAAAUCCAGGAGAGGGCCACGUGGAGGUGUCGCGCCGGUUCGUACCCAUAUCCGCAGCAGGUCUCCAAGGUGAAGAGCCUCUAGUCGAUAGACUAAUGUAGGUAAGGGAAGUCGGCAAAUUGGAUCCGUAACUUCGGAAUAAGGAUUGGCUCUGAGGAGCGGGGCGUGUCGGGCUUGGUCGGGAAGCGGGUCUGUCUGACGUGCCGGGCUUGGGCGAGGUGAACGUCCAGGGACCCGAGCUCGGUCCCGUGCCUUGGCCUCCCGCGGAUCUUCCUUGCUGCGAGGCUUCCGUGGCGGCGUGAGCCGUCGUGGUCGUCCUCUUCGGCCGCCAUUCAACGCUCAGCUCAGAACUGGCACGGACUAGGGGAAUCCGACUGUCUAAUUAAAACAAAGCAUUGCGAUGGCCCUCGCGGGUGUUGACGCAAUGUGAUUUCUGUCCAGUGCUCUGAAACAACGUGAAAAAAAUCAAGCAAGCGCGGGUAAACGGCAGGAGUAACUAUGACUCUCUUAAGAGAGAAUCACUUGCCUCCGAGACUUCAUUUUUAUUACACAUUCCAUAUAAUUUCGUUCCUUUAACAAGGGCGCGUUCGCUGCCUCUGGCUCCGCCGAGGUAGAAUCUCGACGGAGAGGGAGCGACCACCGCGCUCGCGCGCUCAGAUUAUCAUCAGUGAACGCGACCGCCGGGCGGUCCCUCGUGCGGGGGGGGUCCGCCAUGGCGCGUACAGCUCGUCUCGCGCGCGAUCCGCUGUGUCGCCGUUCGCGCACUUUCGUGCACGAGCGUGCAAUCGUUCGAGCGAGUCAGCGCGUCUCGGGUGCACUGAAACUCUUUACAUCUUGUACGUAACGACGCAUCGUCCCUCUGCUGCGCGCGCGAGAGA
rfam:Harpegnathos saltator strain R22 G/1 HarSal_1.0_1.contig7056, whole genome shotgun sequence.